CGAGUUGGCUGGGCGGCCGCGGAGAAAUUCGAGGAAAGUCCGGACUUCACAGAGCAGGGUGAUUGCUAACGGCAAUCCGAGGUGACUCGCGGGAAAGUGCCACAGAGAACAGACCGCCAGAAAUGGUAAGGGUGAAACGGUGCGGUAAGAGCGCACCAGCACUCCGGGUGACCGGAGUGGCUAGGCAAACCCCACCCGAAGCAAGGCCAAGAGGUCGUGCCCAGCACGACUGCGCAGGCGCUCGAGGGCUGCUCGCCCGAGCCUGCGGGUAGGCCGCUUGAGGUACCCGGCGACGGUGUGCCCAGAUGGAUGGUCGCCGCUGAGGCUCCUCCGCAACGGAGAGCUCAGAACAGAAUCCGGCUUACAGGCCAACUCGUUCG
rfam:Mycobacterium sp. ACS4331 contig_60, whole genome shotgun sequence.